UCUAAUAUGGCAGAAUAAUGCAAUGAAUUUAAAUUUCAUAAAUAAAAGAAUAACUUUUUUUUAGAA
rnacentral:tRNA from 1 species